rnacentral:rRNA from 1 species
UACGUAGGGUGCAAGCGUUAAUCGGAAUUACUGGGCGUAAAGCGUGCGCAGGCGGUUCUAUAAGACAGAUGUGAAAUCCCCGGGCUCAACCUGGGAACUGCAUUUGUGACUGUAGAGCUGGAGUACGGCAGAGGGGGAUGGAAUUCCGCGUGUAGCAGUGAAAUGCGUAGAUAUGCGGAGGAACACCGAUGGCGAAGGCAAUCCCCUGGGCCUGUACUGACGCUCAUGCACGAAAGCGUGGGGAGCAAACAAG